rnacentral:lncRNA from 1 species
GAGAUUGCUUCGCCUUAUGGCCACUCACAUACAAAACGGCAAAGAUAAAAAAGCAGGUUUCAACAUUUAUUGAGAUCCAUUAACUAGUAUAUUUUUGACCUAAAUGAUAAACAAUCAGAAAGAGAGAGAGAGAGAGAGAGGAGAGCAUUUCAGCAAUUGAAUGUCCAUUUUCAAGAAAUCAAAUCUACUACAUUUAUACGAAAACAACCAAGUAUCACAUGGAAAGCUCAUUCAUUAUACACAUUGGUUGCAAAUUCACUGAUGCUACAUAAUCUCAACAUAAAAAGUACAUGAGAGGAGGAGGGAUUAAUAUCUUGUAGCAGCAAAAACAAGUAGUAAACAGGGAGGAAAUACUAAUUAGAACUUUGAAGAAAGAACAUCCAACAAAACCCAGCAGCAGCAACCCAAAAUACUACCCAUAAAUUCAACCAAAGAUCUAGCUUUAAACUAGAAAAUCCCAGUAGAAGAAACUAGUUUUUUAGAGUAUUUUUGUGUUCAUCUUGGUAUUUUGCAAAAUCAAUAUCUAUUUAGAGCAGUAUAUAUGUGUUUCCAGAACUUUUUGUGCAGAGAAUGCUAAUGAUUGACUGUGUGAAUGAGGAAAUGUUUUCCUUUUAUAGAGUGUUUUAAAAUGGCAUCAAAAGAGCAUAUUCUAACCUAAAUUCUGAAUUUUCAAGAUAGUACAACAUCUUCAUAGAGGAUAAAAUGUCCAGCUGUCCAUUUUAUUUUCAGCAUCUUUUAAAACUAAUUUGGACAGCUGGUACACUUCUAGAACUUUCUUUCUUUAGAUAUUUUAUUUUUAAUAGAGUUCUGCAAUCCCCCUAAGUUUCCUUUUAGUUUAGUUAGGUCCCCAUAAGAUCUAACGACUUACAAAUCAGGGCAAACACAAAUGGGCAUGCUAAUGCAAAUCAAACAACAGGACAUUGAAUUUCUGGACACUUAAAAACCUAAAAAUGAGCUAAUUUCAUAAUGAGCUUCUGGUUUAAACAUACAUAAAACCUAAUUCUACAACCAAAUGUUAUACCAAUCAAAUCAAAUUUAAAAGAUGAAUCAGUGAAGCAUGAACCAGUAUGAAGCAUUCUAAUCAAAUCAGAACACAAAAAUAAGAAGAACAAGAAAAUCAUAGCAUGAAAAAGAAAACGAUACAAGGAUCCUAAAAUUUAAUUCAUAUUAACCAAAAAUAAGAAGGAAAACAGAGAUUUAGAGAAACUUAAUCAAAUAAUUUUUUCAUUUUCUUUUGUUUUCAAACAGUGUGGACUAAAACACAAGUAAAAUAGAAAUAGGGCGAGGAAACAAAGGGAAAAGCAAUACCUAAUGAGGUUCAGGAAUGAAGGAAUUGACCCCGUACGCGGACAAGGCUGGCCAGGCUCCGAAUGCUUCGAGGUGGGUCCAAAUUACACUAAGCAAUCGUUCUUGUUAGUAAUGAUUAGUUAAUGUCAAUUUUGUCUCAAUUUGUACCUUGAAACUCGAGGAACCAGAAGAAAAUUUGGCAAAAAUGAGUAAGCUAGGGUUUUCUGGAAUUUGAAGAAAUUAAAAGGGGAAUUUAGGAGCAAUGGUGGUGGGAUGGUAGUGAGGGAAGACUGUGGGUUACGUGGUGUGAUGUUCAUCGUCUUUCAGGUGUUUUAGGGUUUGAGGUCGGAGUCUCAGAUCUGAAAUUGGAGCGGUUUGAGAAAGAUUCGAAAGAAUUGGUUUGGGGAUUUGGAAAGGGGAGGGGACAGGGGUUGACUGGUCAAAAUUUAGGGAGAUUUGGAGUGUUUCCACCGCCAUGGAGCGAUUUCCAGCGGUGGAGCACGGCGGAGCCGGUGAGGGAACAAGGGGGCGGCUAUGGUUUCAAAAAGAAAUGGGGAUGAAUGUGAAA